rnacentral:rRNA from 1 species
CUUGGUCAUUUAGAGGAAGUAAAAGUCGUAACAAGGUUUCCGUAGGUGAACCUGCGGAAGGAUCAUUAUUGAAUCCAAAGGAUGUUGCUGGUACUUGUAAAAAAAGUGCAUGUGCACUCCGCCUUUCAAACCCACCUGUGCACUCAUUGUAGGCUCAGAUUAAGUUCUGAGUCUAUGCUUUUUCAUACACACUUAUAAAAUUUAUGGAAUGUCCUUGGGCUUUCAUUGCCUAAAAAAAAUUAAUACAACUUUCAACAACGGAUCUCUUGGUUCUCGCAUCGAUGAAGAACGCAGCGAAUUGCGAUAUGUAAUGUGAAUUGCAGAAUUCAGUGAAUCAUCGAAUCUUUGAACGCACCUUGCGCCUUUUGGUAUUCCGAAGGGCAUGCCUGUUUGAGUGUCAUUAAUAUCUCAANCCUCAAAAAGACCUUUUGUGUUUCUUUUGAGGCUUUGGAUGUUGGAAGGUUUAUGCUGGUUGACAAAACUGGCUCCUCUUAAAUACAUUAGCGGAACUNGAUGGGGAUCGGCUUUUGGUUUGAUAAUUCUAUCUAUGCCAUCCCUGAAAAGCCNAAAAGUGGUUCUGCCUUCUACCUGUCCCUAAGGGACUGUCCUUAUGUACACCUUGGUUUUGAACUUGACCUCCAAWUCAGGUAGGACUACNCCGCUGAACUUAGCWUAUNCAAUAAGNCGGAGGAAAGAAACUAACAGGGAUUCCCCUAAGUAACUGCGAGUGAAGAGGAAGAGCUCAAAUUUGAAAUCUGNCGGUUCUUUGCAGCCGUCCGAGUUGUAGUUUAGAGAAGUGCUAUCCGCGCUAGACUGUGCCAAAAGUUUCUUGGAAAAUGAACAUCAUAGAGGGGUGACAAUCCCGUCCUUGGCACAGAUUCUAGGGCUUUUGUGAUGCGCUCUCGACGAGUCGAGUUGUUUGGGAAUGCAGCUCUAAAUGGGUGGUAAAUUCCAUCUAAAGCUAAAUAUUGGCGAGAAACCGAUAGCGAACAAGUACCGUGAGGGAAAGAUGAAAAGAACUUUGAAAAGAGAGUUAAACAGUACGUGAAAUUGUUGAAAGGGAAACGCUUGAAGUCAGUCGUGUCUUUCAGAGAUCAAGUCAACCUUGUUGGCCGUACUCUCUGGUUUGACAGGUCAGCAUCAAUUUUGACCGCUGGAUAAAGGCCUUUGGGAAUGUGGCAUCCUCGGAUGCGUUAUAGACCAGGGUUCGGAUACAGUGGUUGGGAUUGAGGAACUCAGUGUGCCUUCAAUGGCUGGGGCAUAUUCUGCUCACACCUUUGCAUGCUUAGGAUGCUGGCAUAAUGGCUUUAAUCGACCCGUCUUGAAACACGGACC